rnacentral:rRNA from 1 species
AGUGAACGCUGGCGGUAGGCCUAACACAUGCAAGUCGAACGGCAGCACAGUAAGAGCUUGCUCUUACGGGUGGCGAGUGGCGGACGGGUGAGGAAUACAUCGGAUUCUACUUUUUCGUGGGGGAUAACGUAGGGAAACUUACGCUAAUACCGCAUACGACCUACGGGUGAAAUCAGGGGAUCUUCGGACCUUGCGCGUUUGAUUGAGCCGAUGUCGGAUUAGCUAGUUGGCGGGGUAAAGGCCCACCAAGGCGACGAUCCGUAGCUGGUCUGAGAGGAUGAGCAGCCACACUGGAACUGAGACACGGUCCAGACUCCUACGGGAGGCAGCAGUGGGGAAUAUUGGACAAUGGGCGCAAGCCUGAUCCAGCCAUACCGCGUGGGUGAAGAAGGCCUUCGGGUUGUAAAGCCCUUUUGUUGGGAAAGAAAAGCAGCAGGUUAAUACCCCGCUGUUCUGACGGUACCCAAAGAAUAAGCACCGGCUAACUUCGUG